AGCCGUUCAGCCAUUCCUAAGGCUCCGCUCCUCAGAGCCAUCGCCCUUCCCAAUGCAGACCCAACUUGCACUGCCCACCCUGGCCGAAUUUGGGCCUGGUGCUGGGCUCCGAGCCCCGGGUUCCGUCCCUGCCGUGAGGUCACAGAAGGCGCCCGGCCGCCGGCCAUUGUGACAUCAGAGCCCCCGUCCCCCUGGGCUGCGGCGCCGCGCAGCACUGCAGUCCCGCGAGGACAGCGGAGCAGGCGAGGGGAGAGGUGCUCGUGUCCUGGCACGAGAGCCAGCUUUUGCCUGUGUCUGAGUUGGAAGGAGCCAAAAUGCCGGCCCGGCAGGGCAGGCGAUGCUCUGCUGCGGAGAGGGGAAGGAGGACUCCGGUCCGGCUGCUUUCUCUCCUUUCUGCUGGAGUCUUCCUUUGCGUACUGGCAUGGGGGAGC